CAGUCGCCGCGGUAAUACGAAGGGUGCAAGCGUUGUCCGGAUUUAUUGGGCGUAAAGCGAGCGCAGGCGGUUAGAUAAGUCUGAAGUUAAAGGCUGUGGCUUAACCAUAGUAUGCUUUGGAAACUGUUUAACUUGAGUGCAAGAGGGGAGAGUGGAAUUCCAUGUGUAGCGGUGAAAUGCGUAGAUAUAUGGAGGAACACCGGUGGCGAAAGCGGCUCUCUGGCUUGUAACUGACGCUGAGGCUCGAAAGCGUGGGGAGCAAACAGGAUUAGAUACCCCUGUAGUCCCUGUCUCUUUACAC
rnacentral:rRNA from 1 species